rnacentral:lncRNA from 10 species
GCAGAAAAGGGAGAUAUCUCUAGAAGAGGAUAAACAGCAGGUGGGAGGGUUUAACCUGGUUUGGGGAUGAGGUAGGAAAGGCUCCAAAGGGAAACUAGGAGGUCAGACUGUUCUAAGAGUGCAGUGGCUGAGAAGAGACCGAUUGACCAGAAAAGAAGGAAAAACAGAAUGUCCCCAGGUUCUAGGAUGAAGAUUGCUAAUCGCUUUUCAUGGGAGUUCUGGCCAGAAUGGCUCCCAAAACCCAGUUGUGUCUCUGGGUGUGUAAGCCCAGCAGCAGGCAGUGUGUCAUCGCUGUGUCAGUUCUAUGGUGUGAUGUGCGGAACUGGUACUGGAAUGUAGACAUCAAGGCUGGUUCUUCGGCUCUCCCAAAGGCCAAAGAUAUCUAUUUAAAUAUCAUUUAAAUAAACCCCUUUAUUGCUUAAAUCAUCUAUAAUUUGUUUCUGUUGCAUAUAAAUAAGCAUUUGAUGAAUCCGUUGGGCACCAUUUAAAGAAGUGGGUCUUAGCCCUGGCUGCACAUCAGAAUCAAAUUCCAAGGGAGUGGAGGGGACCAGGGGUUGAAAUGUACUGAUGCCCAAUCCCAGACAGAUUGACAGCAUCUCCAAGGCAUUGGUAGUAUUUAAAAUUUCCAAAGAUGAUUCUUUUUUUUUUUUUUUAAUUCAGUCAGGGUUGAGAACCGCCAGAUGAGUUUGGUUUCCUGGUGGUCCCAAU